UACGUAAGGUGCAAGCGUUAAUCGGAAUUACUGGGCGUAAAGCGUGCGCAGGCGGUUAUGUAAGACAGGUGUGAAAUCCCAGGGCUUAACCUUGGAACUGCAUUUGUGACUGCAUAGCUAGAGUACGGUAGAGGGGGAUGGAAUUCCGCGUGUAGCAGUGAAAUGCGUAGAUAUGCGGAGGAACACCGAUGGCGAAGGCAAUCCCCUGGACCUGUACUGACGCUCAUGCACGAAAGCGUGGGGAGCAAACAGG
rnacentral:rRNA from 1 species